rnacentral:rRNA from 1 species
ACUACGGGUGGCAACAGUGGGGAAUAUUGCACAAUGGGGGAAACCCUGAUGCAGCGACGCCGCGUGAGUGAAGAAGUAAUUCGUUAUGUAAAGCUCUUUCAGCAGGGAGGAAAAUGACGGUACUUGAGCAAGAAGCCCCGGCUAACUACGUGCCAGCAGCCGCGGUAAGACGUAGGGGGCACGCGUUAUCGGGAUUUACUGGGGGUAAAGGGAGCGUAGUCGGCAGUGCAAGUAUGGAGCGAAAGGCGGGGGCUCAACCCCGGGACUGCUCUGGAAACUGUACGGCUGGAGUGCAGGAGAGGUAGGUGGAAUUCCUGGUGUAGCGGUGAAAUGCGUAGAUAUUAGGAGGAACACCAGUGGCGAAGGCGGCUUACUGGACUGUAACUGACGUUGAGGCUCGAAAGCGUGGGGAGCAAACAGGAUUAGAUACCCGUGUAGUC